UGACUACUCCCUCCGUCCGAAAAAACUUGUCCCAAGCUUGUCCCUCAAAUGGAUGUAUCUAGCACUAACUUGGUGCUAGAUACAUCCAUUUGAAGGACAAGCUUUUUUGGACGGAGGGAGUAUUAU
rnacentral:pre_miRNA from 1 species